rnacentral:rRNA from 1 species
UCGAUAGUCAUGCAGUCUUCCGCGAGGAGGCAGAAGGCUGAGUAACACGUAGGUAACCUGCCCAAAGGCGGGAAAUAACCUCGGGAAACUGAGGAUAAUGUCCCAUAGGUUUUUGACACUGGAAUGUACUUAAACCAAAAGCUUCGGCGCCUUAGGAUGGACCUGCGGCUGAUCAGGUUGUUGGCGGGGUAGUGGCCCACCAAGCCUAAGACCAGUAGGGGCAGUGAGAGCUGGAGCCCCCAGACGGGUACUGAGACACGGACCCGAGCCCUACGGGGUGCAGCAGGCGCGAAAUCUCCGCAAUGCACGAAAGUGUGACGGGGGGACUCCAAGUGUUUUCCCUUACUUGGGAAAACUUUUGCCAAGCGUAAAUAACUUGGCGAAUAAGAGCUGGGUAAGACGGGUGCCAGCCGCCGCGGUAAUACCCGCAGCUCAAGUGGUAUGGAGUAUUAUUGGGUCUAAAGCGUUCGUAGCCGGGCCUGCAAGUUUCCUGUGAAAUCCGGCAGCUUAACUGUCGGGCGUGCAGGGGAUACUACAGGUCUAGGGACCGGGAUGGGCUAGAGGUACUUCCGGGGUAGGGGUGAAAUCCUAUAAUCCUGGGGGGACCACCUGUGGCUAAGGCGUCUAGCUAAAACGGGUCCGACGGUGAGGAACGAAAGCGUGGGGAGCAAAUGGGAUUAGAUACCCCAGUAGUCCACGCCGUAAAUGCUGCAAGCUAGGUGUUGCAUGCCUCUCGAGGGCGUGCAGUGCCGAAGGGAAGCCGUUAAGUUUGCCACCUGGGAAGUACGGUCGCAAGGCUGAAACUUAAAGGAAUUGACGGGGGAGCACCACAAGGGGUGGAGCCUGCGGUUUAAUUGGAUUCAACGCCGGAAAUCUCACCGGGGGCGACAGCAGAAUGAAGGUCAGGUUGAUGAUCUUACUCGACUCGCUGAGAGGUAGUGCAUGGCCGUCGUCAGUUCGUGCCGUAAGGUGUUCGGUUAAGUCCGACAACGAACGAGACCCACGUCGCUAGUUGCUAGUCCUUCUUUCGAGGGGGGCGCACUCUAACGAGACCCCUGCUGAUGAAGCAGAGGAAGGAGUGGGCAACGGUAGGUCAGUAUGCUCCGAAUCCCCCGGGCUACACGCGGGCUACAAUGCGCGUCACAAUGAGCUGCGAUGCCGAAAGGCAAAGCCAAUCCCUAAAGGCGCGCUUAGUUCGGAUUGAGGGCUGUAACCCGCCCUCAUGAAGCCGGAAUCCCUAGUAAUCGGGUGUCACUAGCGCCCGGUGAAUACGUCCCUGC